rnacentral:rRNA from 1 species
ACUCCUACGGGAGGCAGCAGUGAGGAAUAUUGGUCAAUGGACGAAAGUCUGAACCAGCCAUGCCGCGUGCAGGAUGACUGCCCUACGGGUUGUAAACUGCUUUUAUAUAGGAAGAAACCCCUCUACGUGUAGAGGGCUGACGGUACUAUAAGAAUAAGGACCGGCUAACUCCGUGCCAGCAGCCGCGGUAAUACGGAGGGUCCAAGCGUUAUCCGGAUUCAUUGGGUUUAAAGGGUACGUAGGCGGAAUUUUAAGUCAGUAGUGAAAGCCCAUCGCUUAACGAUGGAACUGCUAUUGAUACUGGAAUUCUUGAAUAUAGUUGAAGUUGGCGGAAUACGGCAUGUAGCGGUGAAAUGCAUAGAUAUGCCGUGGAACACCGAUCGCGAAGGCAGCUAACUAAGCUAUUAUUGACGCUGAGGUACGAAAGCGUGGGGAGCGAACAGGAUUAGAUACCCUGGUAGCGAGUAG